AGUAGCUUGAAAUAGAAGAGUCUCUGGUUAACAUGCUGAGGAACUAAUCCAGAAUGGAUGUGAGAACACAUUCAGAUCCUCCUCUCCUAUACUGGCUGGCAGACUCAACAGGCUGCAGUAGACUUAGGUCUUUAAUUCCUCUGGAGAGGAUGUAACUUCUGGAGGAACUGGAUUUUGACAUCCCCACCCCAUUGUUCACCCCUUUCCUUCAGGCAAGGAAGACAGCAGCAAGCACCACUCAGCUCAUGCGUGAAGGGUCAUCCGAUACGAGAAAGAGAAAUACAUGAAGUUGCAGCAUCUUGGGGAACUGUGCACCAAUGGCCAUGGGCUCAGCAGGGGAUAAUGUCAGAGCAGCAAAUGGAGACCCAUAUCAAUUCAGACUUCUCCCUCCCCACCCCUCCUGGUACUGUCAGCACUGGAUCAGCCCAAGACUUCCAGGGGAGCCUAUUGUCUGAACACGACAGAGUUUACCCCUGCCUGCCUCUCAAGCAGUCACUGACGUGCUGCUGAAGGGGCUGCCUGGGGAAGAAACACCUGCAAGGAGCCACAGCUGCAGUGGGAGCUGCUCUCCUAAUGCUCUGUUUAGGAUUACAGCACUCCAGAGCAUCACGUUACCCCAGUGGCUGCACUGAAACCUGGUAUUAAUUCACAUUAGCAAGGAUCAGAUUUAGCAUGUUGGGAGGGGGAGGACUGUUGUUAUUUUUUCUAAAACUGCUGGAGCAAACUCCUAGGACUGGUCUUUCAUUAAUCCUGGCAAUGGCCAGAGGAGCUUCUUUGUUCCUCUGUAUCACUGGCCACUUUUUUUUGUCUCCUCUUUCACAAAUGCUUCUAAACACAGGCACUUGUUUCGUGAUGGGAUUACUUGUUUAUCUUUAUUUUUGAUGCACCAAAGUUAGUAACUUUCAAAGCAAAUUUCUUAUUAUUGUGGACUCACAUUGGAUUGCAUCAGCGACAGAAUGGGAUCUUCCAAUAUUAAGAAGACAGCUGCGGUGUGGUGGAGGACCACCUCUUGUCCACGCUCAUGAUGGAUUAUCCCAUGAUCAGAAAAAAAGAAAGAAGAUCUAAACAGUAAGAGCACUGCAACUCUGAGACAGAUUUUCUUAGGGUGGCUAUGGAGUCUUCAUCACUGGAUAAUUUUAAGAAUGUCUGUACAGUAAAUCUGAUCUUGUCUUUGGGAAGGAACAUGCCACAUGCCCUGUAAGGUUCCUUCCCUUCUCCCCCCUCUCCCCCCUUUUUUUUUAAUGCAACCAUUGUGAGAGUGAGGUGGAAUUUAUGGUAAGAUACUUCUCAUCCCCUUCUGUCCCCUCACAACCUCUUCAUUGUGUGUAGUUAAGGCUGCUUCCAUCUGAGAAGCAUAGGCAUUCCCCAGGCUUAUCUGUUGCACCUAGAGUGGUGUGUUUAGCUGUCCCUCUAGGGCCUUGUGACACCAUCCUGGUGUUUUUCUGAGCUAAGGGACAUUCCGCAUACAUAUGAUUGACCCCUGAUUUCAUCUGGUGCCUGUUGAAUCCGCAGCAGCAAGAGCCGCUGGUCAGUACAGCUAGUGUUAAAUACCACCCAAAUGCCCAUCUACAGCCUUGGAAAGGAUAUGAAAAAUUAAGUGAAAAAGAAGGAUUUGAACUGAAGCCUUCAAAGGCUGCAAAUCCCAACCAUGUUUGUUCAUUUUAUUUACAGUUCCAGAAUUACUUUGAAAUGUCGUUCAUAUCUUUUAUUCUGCAAGAUUUGGAAACAUUCAAAUGCUUAGCUAGAGAGGGGUGGACUAGAAUGGUGUGGCCAGAGAAGAGACAAGAAGUCUGGCACUGUAUGCAGCACCAGGGGUGAAGAAUGAGUUAGUAGCACACCAUCUACUGACCCUUGCAUGACAUUUCUUUGUGUAGAGGAGAGAAUACUUCUGCCAUUUGUUAGAAUGGCAGCCUUGUGCAUGGAAAUCUUCUGCAGAUCAUCCAGAUUUGUAAAGCCAGAAGAAGACACCUGAAUAUAGGAAUUUCACCUCCUGUACAAAUGUAGGCCAUCAAACUUCAGCUUAUUACUGAGCCCGAAUAUUUUGUUCCAGAAAUGUAGCCAGGAAGUGAGAAAUCAAGUGCUUUGUAUGAUUCUUUAUUUCACUUAAGCUGCUGAUUCCCUUUCCCUGCUGCUCUGGUGUGGUUCCACACUGUCCUGAUAAGAACUGUGUGUGCUGCAGGGGAAAGUCAACCUUCAUGGGUCUUGGCAUCUCAAGAUCAAAGUACUGUAAGAGUGACCAUCCAUCUUAUCUCAUACAUGCCACGCUGCCGCUCGCAGAUGGCAAACAUUGCAGGCAGCUUUGUCAUCAGUCAGCUUGGGAUCAUGUUUAGGGAACUGGAGUGAUGGACUGUCAGAGCCUGGCUCCCUCUGGAAUCAAUGGAGAAAAGUAGCUGCUGCCUGUAUGUUAGUGCAUCUAUGGCAGACAGAUUUUGCUCUUUUUUCCUCUGGUAGAGCUCUGGAGCCAUAAGGAGAUCUUCCACUGAAACUUUGUUUUCACCUUUAUUGCUUUCUCUUUCCCUCUGUGUUCUCACACCCAAACUUAUUGAUAUUCACUUUAAUUCUCCUUGGGAAAAAAAAAUAAAAAGAAAAGAAAAAAAAAC